rnacentral:rRNA from 1 species
UACGUAGGGGGCAAGCGUUGUCCGGAAUCAUUGGGCGUAAAGCGCGCGUAGGCGGCCCGGUAAGUCCGCUCUGAAAGUCCAGGGCUCAACCCUGGAAAGCGGGUGGAUACUGCCCGGGCUAGAAUCCGGAAGAGGCGAGUGGAAUUCCUGGUGUAGCGGUGGAAUGCGCCAGAUAUCAGGAGGAACACCGAUGGCGAAGGCAGGUCUCUGGCCACUACUGACGCUGAGAAGCGAAAGCAUGGGGAGCGAACAGG